rnacentral:rRNA from 1 species
GAUGAACGCUGGCGGCGUGCCUAAUACAUGCAAGUCGAGCGAAUGGAUUAAGAACUUGCUCUUAUGAAGUUAGCGGCGGACGGGUGAGUAACACGUGGGUAACCUGCCCAUAAGACUGGGAUAACUCCGGGAAACCGGGGCUAAUACCGGAUAACAUUUUGAACCGCAUGGUUCGAAAUUGAAAGGCGGCUUCGGCUGUCACUUAUGGAUGGACCCGCGUCGCAUUAGCUAGUUGGUGAGGUAACGGCUCACCAAGGGAACGAUGCGUAGCCGACCUGGGAGGGUGAUCGGCCACACUGGGACUGAGACACGGCCCAGACUCCUGCGGGAGGCAGCAGUAGGGAAUCUUCCGCAAUGGACGGAAGUCUGACGGAGCAACGCCGCGUGAGUGAUGAAGGCUUUCGGGUCGUAAAACUCUGUUGUUAGGGAAGAACAAGUGCUAGUUGAAUAAGCUGGCACCUUGACGGUACCUAACCAGAAAGCCACGGCUAACUACGUGCCAGCCGCCGCCGUAA